rnacentral:rRNA from 1 species
GACGAACGCUGGCGGCGUGCUUAACACAUGCAAGUCGAACGGAAAGGCCCUGCUUUUGUGGGUGCUCGAGUGGCGAACGGGUGAGUAACGCGUGAGUAACCUGCCCUUGACUUUGGGAUAACUUCAGGAAACUGGGGCUAAUACCGGAUAGGAGCUCCUGCUGCAUGGUGGGGGUUGGAAAGUUUCGGCGGUUGGGGAUGGACUCGCGGCUUAUCAGCUUGUUGGUGGGGUAGUGGCUUACCAAGGCUUUGACGGGUAGCCGGCCUGAGAGGGUGACCGGCCACAUUGGGACUGAGAUACGGCCCAGACUCCUACGGGAGGCAGCAGUGGGGAAUAUUGCACAAUGGGCGGAAGCCUGAUGCAGCAACGCCGCGUGCGGGAUGACGGCCUUCGGGUUGUAAACCGCUUUCGCCUGUGACGAAGCGUGAGUGACGGUAAUGGGUAAAGAAGCACCGGCUAACUACGUG